ACUCAAAUGAAUUGACGGGGACCCGCACAAGCGGUGGAUGAUGUGGAUUAAUUCGAUGCCACGCGAAAAACCUUACCUACCCUUGACAUGGUCGGAAAGCCGAAGAGAUUCGGAAGUGCCUGAAAGGGAGCCGAUACACAGGUGCUGCAUGGCUGUCGUCAGCUCGUGUCGUGAGAUGUUGGGUUAAGUCCCGCAACGAGCGCAACCCUUGUCCUUAGUUGCUACGCAAGGGCACUCUAAGGAGACUGCCGGUGACAAGCCGGAGGAAGGUGGGGAUGACGUCAAGUCCUCAUGGCCCUGAUGGGUAGGGCUUCACACGUCAUACAAUGGUCGGAUCAGAGGGCUGCGAACCCGCGAGGGGGAGCCAAUCCCAGAAAACCGAUCGUAGUCCGGAUUGCAGUCUGCAACUCGACUGCAUGAAGCAGGAAUCGCUAGUAAUCGCGGAUCAGCCUGUCGCGGUGAAUACGUUCCCGGGUCUUGCACACACCGCCCGU
rnacentral:rRNA from 1 species